GGCCGCGGUAUUCUGACCGUGCAAAGGUAGCGCAAUCACUUGUCUUUUAAAUGAAGACCUGUAUGAAUGGCAUGACGAGGGCUUUACUGUCUCCUCUUUCUAGUCCAUGAAAUUGAUCUUUCCGUGCAGAAGCGGGAAUAUCAACAUAAGACGAGAAGACCCUGUGGAGCUUUAGACUCUAAGCAGCCCCAGUAAAAAAGCCCCAUUAACGGCUUAUAACCCUGCCUUACUGUCUUUGGUUGGGGUGACCGCGGAGAAUUACUAAACCUCCAUGUGGAACGAACUAAUCUUUUAUAACUCAGGGUGGCAACCCCAAGUAACAGGAUUUCUGACCAGAUAUGAUCCGGUAAGACCGAUCAACGAACCGAGUUACCCCAGGGAUAACAGCGCAAUCCCCUUUUAGAGCCCGUAUCGACAAG
rnacentral:rRNA from 1 species